AACGAACGCUUCCUUCCUUCCUAACACAUGCAAGUCGAACGAGACCUUCGGGUCUAGUGGCGCACGGGUGCGUAACGCGUGGGAACCUGCCCUUAGGUUCGGAAUAACUCCCCGAAAGGGGUGCUAAUACCGGAUAAUGUCUUCGGACCAAAGAUUUAUCGCCUUUGGAUGGGCCCGCGUUGGAUUAGCUAGUUGGUAGGGUAAAAGCCUACCAAGGCGACGAUCCAUAGCUGGUCUGAGAGGAUGAUCAGCCACACUGGGACUGAGACACGGCCCAGACUCCUACGGGAGGCAGCAGUGGGGAAUAUUGGACAAUGGGCGAAAGCCUGAUCCAGCAAUGCCGCGUGAGUGAUGAAGGCCUUAGGGUUGUAAAGCUCUUUUACCCGGGAUGAUAAUGACAGUACCGGGAGAAUAAGCUCCGGCUAACUCCGUG
rnacentral:rRNA from 1 species